rnacentral:rRNA from 1 species
GACGAACGCUGGCGGCGUGCUUAACACAUGCAAGUCGAACGGAGUGGCGAACGGGUGGGUAACACGUGGGUGACCUGCCCUGCACUUCGGGAUAAGCCGGGGAAACUGCGUCUAAUACCGGAUAGUGUGGGAUGGGCCCGGGGCCUAUCAGAUUGUGGGUGGGGUAAUGGCCUACGAAGGCGGCGACGGGUAGCCGGCCUGGGAGGGUGGACGGCCACAUUGGGACUGAGACAGGGGCCAGAGGCGUACGGGAGGCAGUAGUGGGGAAUAUUGCACAAUGGGCGGAAGCCUGAUGCAGCGACGCCGGGUGGGGGAGGACGGCCUUCGGGUUGUAAACUCCUUUCACCAUAGACGCGGUAGAUGGAGAAGAAGCACCGGCUAACUACGUGCCAGCCGCCGCGGUAAUUC